GAUGAACGCUGGCGGCGUGCCUAAUACAUGCAAGUCGAGCGAACGGACGAGAAGCUUGCUUCUCUGAUGUUAGCGGCGGACGGGUGAGUAACACGUGGAUAACCUACCUAUAAGACUGGGAUAACUUCGGGAAACCGUAGCUAAUACCGGAUAAUAUUUUGAACCGCAUGGUUCAAAAGUGAAAGACGGUCUUGCUGUCACUUAUAGAUGGAUCCCCGCUGCAUUAGCUAGUUGGUAAGGUAACGGCUUACCAAGGCAACGAUGCAUAGCCGACCUGAGAGAGUGAUCGGCCACACUGGAACUGAGACCCGGUCCAGGCGCCUAAGGGAGGCCGCAGUAGGGAAUCUUACGCAAUGGGCGAAAGCCUUGCGGAGCAACGCCGCGUGAGUGAUGAAGGUCUUGGGAUCGUAAAACUGUGUUAUUAGGGAAGAACAGAUGUGUAAGGAACUGUGCACAUCUUGACGGUACCUAAUCAGAAAGCCACGGCUAACUACGUG
rnacentral:rRNA from 1 species